GUUGUAUGGUUAAGUGACUAAGCGUACACGGUGGAUGCCUGGGCAGUCAGAGGCGAUGAAGGACGUACUAACUUGCGAUAAGCGUAGAUGAGGCAGUAAGAGCCACUUGAGUCUACGAUUUCCGAAUGGGGAAACCCAACUGCAUAAGCAGUUAUCUCAAUGUGAAUUCAUAGCAUUGUGAGGCGAACCGGGGGAACUGAAACAUCUAAGUACCCCGAGGAAGAGAAAUCAACCGAGAUUCCGGCAGUAGCGGCGAGCGAAACCGGAUUAGCCCUUAAGCUAAUCUUGCGUUAGGUGAACAUGCUGGAAAGCAUGGCAAUAAAGGGUGAUAGCCCCGUAACCAACAGCGCUUUAUUAGUGAAAUCGAGUAGGACGGGACACGUGUUAUCCUGUCUGAAUAUGGGGGGACCAUCCUCCAAGGCUAAAUACUCCUGACUGACCGAUAGUGAACCAGUACCGUGAGGGAAAGGCGAAAAGUACCCCUGUGAGGGGAGUGAAAUAGAACCUGAAACCGUGUACGUACAAGCAGUAGGAGCAGGCUUGUCCUGUGACUGCGUACCUUUUGUAUAAUGGGUCAGCGACUUAAUUUUAGUAGCAAGGUUAACCAUCUAGGGGAGCCGUAGGGAAACCGAGUCUUAACUGGGCGUCAUAGUUGCUAGGAUUAGACCCGAAACCGAGUGAUCUAGCCA
rnacentral:rRNA from 1 species